rnacentral:rRNA from 1 species
UGCGUAGGCGGAAUAAUAAGUCAGCGGUGAAAGCCUGUGGCUUAACCAUAGAAUUGCCGUUGAUACUGUUAUUCUUGAGUAUAGUUGAAGUGGGCGGAAUGUGUAAUGUAGCGGUGAAAUGCUUAGAUAUUACACAGAACACCAAUUGCGAAGGCAGCUCACUAAGCUGUUACUGACGCUGAGGCACGAAAGCGUGGGGAGCAAACAGGAUUAGAUACCCUGGUAGUCC